CGCAAUCGCAUAGCGUGACAACACGCGAAAGUCGUCUGAAAUGCCGGUAUCACCUUUGGGUGUGACGACACUCAGCCGAUGAUGCAAAUGCAUCGACACU
ncrna:unclassified sequences DTF3577 RNA